rnacentral:rRNA from 1 species
AAUCAACGCUGGCGGCGUGCCUCAGACAUGCAAGUCGAACGAUUAAACUUCCCUUCGGGGAAGAUAUAAAGUGGCGCACGGGUGAGUAACACGUAAGUAAUCUACCUUCGAGUGGGGAAUAACAUCGGGAAACCGAUGCUAAUACCGCAUAACGCAGCGGCACCUAAUGGUGACAGUUGUUAAAGGAGCAAUUCGCUUGAAGAGGAGCUUGCGGCAGAUUAGCUAGUUGGUAAGGUAAUGGCUUACCAAGGCUUCGAUCUGUAUCCGGUCUAAGAGGACGGUCGGAUACACUGACACUGAAUAACGGGUCAGACUCCUACGGGAGGCAGCAGUCGGGAAUUUUGGGCAAUGGGCGAAAGCCUGACCCAGCAACGCCGCGUGAAGGAUGAAGUAUUUCGGUAUGUAAACUUCGAAAGAAUGGGAAGAACUCAAUGACGGUACCAUUUAUAAGCUCCGGCUAACUACGUGCCAGCCGCCGCAGUAAUAC